rnacentral:lncRNA from 1 species
AGCAUCCACUUCUGUGUUUGCUAGGCCCUGGCAUAGUCUCACAAGAGACAGCUAUAUCUGGGUCCUUUCAGCAAAAUCUUGCUAGUGUAUGCAAUGGUGUCAGCGUUUGGAAGCUGAUCAUGGGAUGGAUCUCUGGAUAUGGCAAUCACUAGCCUAUUUUCACUAGUAGUUAAAAUAUUUAGUGGAAAUUUCAAGUACUACAUUUAGUAGUGUUUUAGGAAUCUUUCAGUUUUAUGCAUGUAGAAUUAUCCUCUAUUUACAUACAUAGGUUAGAUUCUUGUUUUCUUGUAUUUUUGUCUUAAUUCCUGUCUUAAUUUUUCUUGGACUAUCUCUCAGGCUCAUCCUUAUCAUCCAGUGCUGCUUCCACAUUCUUAUUUAAGUAACAAUUUAGGACAAAACUGUUCAGUAAUUUUUUAUCACUUUAAAUCUAGUUAGUUAUAUCAAUUUUAGGUAAUAAGGGGAAAUUUCAAAAAAUAUCUUAGACAAGAAUAAUUUUUAAAUUAGUAUUUAGUAGCCAUCAUAGAACAGAGUAAUGAUAUGGUCGAUAUAAUGUUCUUCAAUCUAUUAAAGAGCACAUUUGCAAUCAUAGUGUUUCUUGCAAAAGAAAACCUUUGUGUUUCUAAUAAGUCACCAAGUUUUUUCCACAAAUUCUUAACACCCUGUUAUAAUUUAUACAUUCUUCAGAUUAUUAUUAUCAUAAUAGUAAUACUUAAGUUGUUAUAAAUAGUAAUUAUAGUUGAUAGCCUUACUACAAAUUGCCAAAUUAAUUGAUUAAUAAUAUAAAGUAGUAAUCUAAGUUUUUUUUUAAUUUAGAUUUUUCAAUAAACAUUUUGUGUGAUGUUCCUAAAACCAAGAAACAGCAAUAGUGCAAGUUCACACAGUUAACCUAUGUGCUAUUCUUAGGGAUGAACCUGAUUGCUGUAUUUGCCAUAUGUGGAUUCUUCAUGAAUAUUCUCUUUGAAGCAUCAAUUAUUCUUCAGUUAGCCUAUAGAAAAUACUAUAGAAAUAGCACACAACAGGAAAGAUUUGAAAGAGCCAACAAUGAUCCAACUCAUUAAAAAUGUAUAUUCUAGGUAGCAAAGUAGGUUAAGGCAAGUUAAAAGACAUCUGUAACACACAGCAUUGAAACUUGUUUGAGACAUUACUCCAGCUGAGACAUUCAGGAUGCCUAUAGAAAGUUCAAAAUCAGUACACUUACAACUCAAGUUGAAAAACUUAUUUCCUCUGCCAAAGACACAUGGCACAUGUAUGCAAACAAAGAUUACUGAAAUGGCCAAUAGAUAUUAUCAAUCAGUGCUCUAAAUGGAAAUGUUAGUGUAAAAUUAAAGUGUAAAGUUGAUAUGCAGCAAUGUAUACCUUAUAAGAAUGUUACAUUGGCCAGGUGUGGUGGCACAUGCCUUUAAUCCCAAUAUUUAGAAGGUGAAGACAGAUGGAUCUCUGUGAGUUCGAGGCCAGUCUCGUGUAAAGAGAGAGUUCCAGGCCAGCCAUAUCUUGUUGCACAGAGAAACCCUGUCUCAAAACAAAGUAAUAUACAUUAAAAUCACCAUUCACAAAACAAUCUCAAGCACAAGGAUAUUAAAGUAUAUAAUAAGAUCACAAACACUAGUAGCAGGUUAGUCAUAUGCAAUACCACUAUGAAUAAAGUGUUCGUGAUAAAAAACAAAUAUAUCAUUGCUCUAUUUAAAAAUGAUACAUUCAUGCAGUAUUUGACAAAUGAAGAUAUUGCUGUAAGAAUGUAAAUAUUAAAUUAAUAUGGAAAAUAAUUUUCUUACAAAGAAAAUUAUGCUUAUAACUAUAAAAUAGCUCUAUAAAAAUAUAAAAAUGUGAAUUGUAGAGUACAAAAAUUAUCAAAGGAUUUCACUGAUACACAGUAUAGGAGUAUACGUUUUCUUAUACUUCUCCAAAUUUGCAGAUUCAACAACC